rnacentral:lncRNA from 1 species
CUAUACUAGCAGUGCUAAUUACUGUUUCUCUAACACACACAAGAGAUUGAAGACUCGCUGAAUGCGAUUCUACAAUCGAAUGAGAGCCAGGGAGAUUGGAUGGACCACCACAUGUCCACACUCCACGAGUACACGAGACCACAACAACCUUCGGCCACAUCCCCAACCUCUGGAUUACGCGGAGUAGAUAACACCUCAGUUCCCCCACAGAAACCACGAGUACUGUUGAGACUUGAGAGUCGAUCGUACGUUGAUCGACUCUCAAGUCUGAAUAGUUGGAGACGACGACAUAUGCACGAUUUAUUAGCAACCAUCAUGUUCCAAACCAAAACGAUUUGCCAUCCCGGCUAAGAGUGCACAGGGUUUUUGUUGCGGAGUGGUCGGGCGGGACAGCAGACGGUGGGCGUUGGGACGUUGGU